GAUGAACGCUGGCGGCGUGCCUAAUACAUGCAAGUCGAGCGAACGGACGAGAAGCUUGCUUCUCUGAUGUUAGCGGCGAACGGGUGAGUAACACGUGGAUAACCUACCUAUAAGACCGGGAUAACUUCGGGAAACCGGAGCUAAUACCGGAUAAUAUUUUGAACCGCAUGGUUCAAAAGUGAAAGACGGUCUUGCUGUCACUUAUAGAUGGAUCCGCGCUGCAUUAGCUAGUUGGUAAGGUAACGGCUUACCAAGGCAACGAUGCAUAGCCGACCUGAGAGGGUGAUCGGCCACACUGGAACUGAGACACGGUCCAGACUCCUACGGGAGGCAGCAGUAGGGAAUCUUCCGCAAUGGGCGAAAGCCUGACGGAGCAACGCCGCGUGAGUGAUGAAGGUCUUCGGAUCGUAAAACUCUGUUAUUAGGGAAGAACAUAUGUGUAAGUAACUGUGCACAUCUUGACGGUACCUAAUCAGAAAGCCACGGCUAACUACGUG
rnacentral:rRNA from 1 species